GCUUGAUCGGGCUGUGACUUUAGAUUCCUAUUGGAUAAUUUCCGAUCAUACUGCAGGGAAAUUCUGUGGCGCGAGCUAAAUAAGCUUAAACAGGCUAAUGCCCUUUUCCGCAAUAAAUUGCAAUUUCCCGACAUAGAAGACUCAGGGUUGCGGACGCUUGUCAAUCAAAGACAACUAAUAUGACAGGCUUCAAAUUGGCAGCAUUCUCUUUGGGGACAUCCAAGCCAAAGUCCCAGUGAUCCAUGUGUCCGUCUUGCUGAAAUAGUUCCGUUCAAGAUCAUCAUGGACUGGCUUUUAAUGUAGUUGAUGAACUGCCCAAAACUGUGACACUACAUUAAAUCAGGGUUCUGAUCCAACAAGUAUGGACUUUCAUCCUAUUCAGCAAACUCUACUUCUUGUUCAGUCCUUAACUUGGCGUCAGCAAUUUAAGAUCCCGGUGCAAGUGCUGAUCUUGCUGUGGUUUUAAUGCAAGAAGGACUUGCACACAUCUUACUUGUCGGUAAAAGCGUGACAGCUACUCGAUCAAGGAUAGAGACUUCAAUUCCUCGAAAGCAUGGCCCUGCCAUUGCUGGUUAUGAGUCGGCAUUGAAUAAGUUCUUUGAGCAUGUUUUACAGGCUUUCCUAAAGCAUAUUGAUUUCAGUGUCAUUCGUUGUGCGGUGAUUGCAAGCCCUGGUUUCACUAAGGAUCAGUUUCAUCGUCACUUAUUGUUAGAGGCAGAGAGGAGACAGCUGAGACCCAUUAUUGAGAACAAGUCACGCAUAGUGCAAGCUCAGGAUAUAAAUCGAUCUGGGUGUGCUUCAGAAUCAGUAAUAUCAUCAUCCAGAAUCUCAAUUGCUUCUGCAAGUAUGGUUUCUUUGACUGGUUCAAUGUUAUUUCCUGCUACUGCACCGCAUGGCUCUACUGGGUCUGCUAGAUUCUCUAUUUGGAGUACGGACACAACCUCUUCGUUCUGCUAUAAUCAGAGAAAGGUUCUCUGCGCUUGUAUGGCACCUCUGCGAAACAUAGGCAGCGAUGAAUAUCGAGCAACCAAAUUCAAUGAUUCUUAUAAAUCAAAGCAAUUAGGGACGGUAUUGGAACCAGAGGAUGAUUCUGAUGUUCUAAUUGAAGGUAAAAAUGUCUACAAGUCAUUUGGGGAUAAGGAUAUACUGAGAGGUGUCAGCUUCAAGUGUGAGUAGACUAGGGAUACCCAACUAUAACUGGUGGUCUGAGGCUUGGUCUCUUAUGUGGGUCGUGGUACAAAUUUCUCCAAUGUCCUACCUGCAGCUACAAGGCUUUCGUCCUUUUCCAAGCCAUUGGAAAGUUUCUACUGAAGGCAGGGCCAUGCAGAACGUAGGAUUGACAGGCUUGACGUUUUGGUCGCCAAAUGUUAACAUUUUUCGUGAUCCCAGAUGGGGAAGAGGCCAAGAGGCCCCUGGUUAGAAGUCCAUUUAUUAUUUUUCUUUUGUGUGCUUUUGAAUUGUGAUAAUUCAGGUAACAAAGCAAGACAUGGAAGAUACAUUUCAACCUCCAUUUAGAAGUUGUGUUCUUGAUGGUAAUGUUGCCAGUGUAAUGUGUUCCUACAAUCAGGUCAAUGGUAAGCCAACAUGUGCUGAUCCAAAUCUUCUUUCUGGGGUCAUUCGAGGCGAAUGGAAAUUGAAUGGAUACAUAGUUUCUGACUGUGAUUCAGUAUAUGAGUUCUUCAAUGGACAACACUAUACCAAAACACCAGAAGAAGCUGCAGCUACAGCAAUAUUGGCAGGUCUGGAUCUCAAUUGCUGGUGAUUCUUAGGCCAGCACACUGAAGUCUUGGUCCCACUAUGAUGAGUCGAAUAUUGACAAGGCUGUCUCAAAUAAUUUUGCUACUAUGAUGAGACUUGGUUUUUUUUAUGGUGAUCCUACCAAGCAAAUCUAUGGAAAUCUUGGUCCAAAACAUGGUAUCCACUAUCAUUCAUGAACAUGAGAGCAGAUCCUUUGACGGGCUAUCCAGGCAGAACCUACAGAUUUCAUACUGGAGAAACUGUUUAUUCAUCCAAGAGCUCCAAGCAUAGCCCAUCUGCAGUGAAUCACUUCAAGCUCACGGUUCUCGACAAAAGUUUCUGAGUCAGCACAGAGACCAACAGUAUCCCAUCCAUAGUCACCUGGGAACUCACUAGUCAAGUAAGACGGAAGCUCACUGGAGAAUGGACAUGGCCAUUGCCCAUGAGCUUAGGGGCAAAGGAGAAGAGCUUCACCGCCUUGCUAGUGGAAGUGGUGGGUGGAAAAGAGAAGGGGUCCAAUGGGUAUUAAUAGAUAGUUGGGGAUGGAUUUCCUUAUCUCAGUGAAAUCUACGUUCAAGAUUCCAUAAGAGGGGUAUUUAAAUCUAUCACUUCAUUGGAAGUUGUAGAUUUUAUUUGUUUGUUCUUUUCAUCCUAUAUGAUAUUCUUUGGACCGCUAAAUUCUUAUAUUUAUUUAUUGUUCAUAUCGACGUUCUAA